rnacentral:misc_RNA from 1 species
UUUGAUUCGAAUUCAGGGGGUGAAUAGCACGCGGUUUUUGUUGAUGGUGUGGUCAAAAAAGACAAAAUUGGUUCUGGUGUCGUUUUGGCUGGAUAUACACGUUCUAUAAUAUUUUGCCGCGUGCCUGGAGACCUGGCUUUGGACUUUGGAGGGUUUUGCAUGGGAUGUAGUUGGGUGGACGUGCAGGCUUCAUAACCGUAGAUUUUGAAUGGAGGUGAGUUCGUUAGUUUUGAUGGAUGGAUGUGAUGAAAUCGUAAGAAUUUAUUUAAUUGUU